UAAGGAAUAUUCCACAAUGGGGGAAACCCUGAUGGAGCAACGCCGCGUGCAGGAUGAAGGCCCUCGGGUCGUAAACUGCUUUUAUGGGUGAAUAAUAUGAAUGUAACCCUUGAAUAAGCACCGGCUAACUACGUGCCAGCAGCCGCGGUCAUCAGUAGGGUGCAAGCAUUAUCCGGAGUGACUGGGCGUAAAGAGUUGCGUAGGUGGUUUGUCUAGUGAAUAGUGAAAUCUGGUGGCUCAACCACACAGACUAUUAUUCAAACUGGCAGACUCGAGAGUAGCAGAGGUAACUGGAAUUGCGAGUGUAGGAAUGAAAUCCGUAGAUAUUAGAAGGAACACCGAUUGCAUAGGCAGGUUACUGGGCUAUUUCUGACACUGAGGCACGAAAGCGUGGGGAGCGAACC
rnacentral:rRNA from 1 species